ACCGCAUGGUUCUUGGCUGAAAGAUGGCGUAAGCUAUCGCUUUUGGAUGGACCCGCGGCGUAUUAGCUAGUUGGUGAGGUAACGGCUCACCAAGGCAAUGAUACGUAGCCGAACUGAGAGGUUGAUCGGCCACAUUGGGACUGAGACACGGCCCAAACUCCUACGGGAGGCAGCAGUAGGGAAUCUUCCACAAUGGACGCAAGUCUGAUGGAGCAACGCCGCGUGAGUGAAGAAGGCUUUCGGGUCGUAAAACUCUGUUGUUGGAGAAGAAUGGUCGGCAGAGUAACUGUUGUCGGCGUGACGGUAUCCAACCAGAAAGCCACGGCUAACUACGUGCCAGCAGCCGCGGUAAUACGUAGGUGGCAAGCGUUAUCCGGAUUUAUUGGGCGUAAAGCGAGCGCAGGCGGUUUUUUAAGUCUGAUGUGAAAGCCCUCGGCUUAACCGAGGAAGUGCAUCGGAAACUGGGAAACUUGAGUGCAGAAGAGGACAGUGGAACUCCAUGUGUAGCGGUGAAAUGCGUAGAUAUAUGGAAGAACACCAGUGGCGAAGGCGGCUGUCUGGUCUGUAACUGACGCUGAGGCUCGAAAGCAUGGGUAGCGAACAGGAUUAGAUACCCUGGUAGUCCAUGCCGUAAACGAUGAAUGCUAGGUGUUGGAGGGUUUCCGCCCUUCAGUGCCGCAGCUAACGCAUUAAGCAUUCCGCCUGGGGAGUACGACCGCAAGGUUGAAACUCAAAGGAAUUGACGGGGGCCCGCACAAGCGGUGGAGCAUGUGGUUUAAUUCGAAGCAACGCGAAGAACCUUACCAGGUCUUGACAUCUUUUGAUCACCUGAGAGAUCAGGUUUCCCCUUCGGGGGCAAAAUGACAGGUGGUGCAUGGUUGUCGUCAGCUCGUGUCGUGAGAUGUUGGGUUAAGUCCCGCAACGAGCGCAACCCUUAUGACUAGUUGCCAGCAUUUAGUUGGGCACUCUAGUAAGACUGCCGGUGACAAACCGGAGGAAGGUGGGGAUGACGUCAAAUCAUCAUGCCCCUUAUGACCUGGGCUACACACGUGCUACAAUGGAUGGUACAACGAGUUGCGAGACCGCGAGGUCAAGCUAAUCUCUUAAAGCCAUUCUCAGUUCGGACUGUAGGCUGCAACUCGCCUACACGAAGUCGGAAUCGCUAGUAAUCGCGGAUCAGCACGCCGCGGUGAAUACGUUCCCGGGCCUUGUACACACCGCCCGUCACACCAUGAGAGUUUGUAACACCCGAAGCCGGUGGCGUAACCCUUUUAGGGAGCGAGCCGUCUAAGGUGGGACAAAUGAUUAGGGUGAAGUCGUAACAAGGUAGCCGUAGGAGAACCUGCGGCUG
rnacentral:rRNA from 1 species